GCAGUCGUGGCCGAGUGGUUAAGGCGAUGGAAAUCCAUUGGGGUCUCCCCGCACAGGUUCGAAUCCUGUCGACUGCG
rnacentral:tRNA from 1 species